ACUGCUCAGUAACACGUGGCUAAUCUGCCCUUGGGACCGGAAUACCCCCGGGAAACUGGGGCUAAUUCUCGAUAGGUGAAGAACUCUGGAAUGAGUCUUUGCCAAAAAGACGUUUGCGUUAUGCUCGUAGACGUCGCCCAAGGAUGAGGCCGCGACCGAUCAGGUUGUUGGUGAGGUAAUGGCUCACCAAGCCUUUUACCGGUGCGGGCCGUGAGAGCGGGAGCCCGGAGAUGGGCACUGAGACAAGGGCCCAGGCCCUACGGGGCGCAGCAGUCGCGAAAACUUUGCAAUACACGAAAGUGUGACAGGGCUAUCCCGAGUGCCAUCCGCUGAGGAAGGCUUUUACCCAGUCUAGAACGCUGGGGGAAUAAGGAGAGGGCAAGUCUGGUGUCAGCCGCCGCGGUAAUACCAGCUCUCCGAGUGGUGUGGAUGUUUAUUGGGCCUAAAGCAUCCGUAGCUGGCUGAGUUAGUCCCUUGUUAAAUCCACCGAAUUAAUCGUUGGAUUGCGGGGGAUACUGCUCGGCUAGGGGACGAGAGAGGCAGACGGUAUUUCCGGGGUAGGGGUGAAAUCCUAUAAUCCCGGGAAGACCACCAGUGGCGAAGGCUGUCUGCUAGAACGCGCCCGACGGUGAGGGAUGAAAGCUGGGGGAGCGAACCGGAUUAGAUACCCGGGUAGUCCCAGCUGUAAACGAUGCAGGCUAGGUGUUUGGACGGCCACGUGCCGUUCUAGUGCCGCAGGGAAGCUGUUAAGCCUGCCGCCUGGGGAGUACGAUCGCAAGAUUGAAACUUAAAGGAAUUGGGGGGGGGAGCAC
rnacentral:rRNA from 1 species